rnacentral:rRNA from 1 species
UACAGAGGUGCCAAGCGUUAGGCGGAAUCACUGGGCGUAAAGGGCUCGUAGGCGGCCAACUAAGUCAGACGUGAAAUCCCCAGGCUCAACCUGGGAACUGCGUCUGAUACUGGAUGGCUUGAAUCCGGGAGAGGGAUGCAGAAUUCCAGGUGUAGCGGUGAAUGCGUAGAUAUCUGGAGGAAUACCGGUGGCGAAGGCGGCAUCCUGGACCGGCAUUGACGCUGAGGAGCGAAAGCCAGGGAGCAAACGGG